rnacentral:rRNA from 1 species
UGGGGAAUAUUGCACAAUGGGCGAAAGCCUGAUGCAGCGACGCCGCGUGAGGGAUGAAGGCCUUCGGGUUGUAAACCUCCUUCAGCAGGGAAGAAGCGCAAGUGACGGUACCUGCAGAAGAAGCGCCGGCUAACUACGUGCCAGCAGCCGCGGUAAUACGUAGGGCGCAAGCGUUGUCCGGAAUUAUUGGGCGUAAAGAGCUCGUAGGCGGUUUGUCGCGUCUGGUGUGAAAACUCGAGGCUCAACCUCGAGCUUGCAUCGGGUACGGGCAGACUAGAGUGCGGUAGGGGAGACUGGAAUUCCUGGUGUAGCGGUGGAAUGCGCAGAUAUCAGGAGGAACACCGAUGGCGAAGGCAGGUCUCUGGGCCGCAACUGACGCUGAGGAGCGAAAGCAUGGGGAGCGAACA